rnacentral:tRNA from 2 species
CGCCACGACGGUGCGCGCGCCGGUGGCGUCGUCGGAUUCCACCCGACAACGACAUGCGAGUAGGCGCUUGCCCGCAGAUUCGACCUCGGCAGUGGCGA